GCUGCCUGUUUUUGCCAUCCCGAGGAAGGAAUCGAACUCAUGGCAGCAACGGUGAAAUCCCGCGAGUUCGACGUAAUCAUCCUUGGAGCCUCCGGAUUCACCGGCAAAUACGUCGUCCGCGAGGCCCUCAAGUUCCUCUCCUCCGCCUCGGGCCCCCUCAGGUCCCUCGCCCUCGCCGGCCGCUCCCCCUCCAAGCUGGCCGCAGCCCUUCAAUGGGCCGCCGCCGCAUCCCCCCCUCCGCCCCUCUCCCUCAUCUCCGCCGACGUUUUCGACCCUACCUCCCUUCUCGCUCUAUGUCGCAGCACCAGGAUCAUCCUCAACUGCGUCGGCCCUUUCCACUUCUACGGCGAUCCCGUCGUCGCCGCCUGCGUCGAGGCCGGAACCGACUACCUCGAUAUCACAGGUGAGCCCGAGUUCAUCGAGAGGACGGAGACCAGGUACCACGAGCGGGCCGAAAAGGCGGGAUCUUUGGUGGUUUCGGCUUGCGGGUUCGACUCGGUUCUGGCGGAGCUGGGGCUCAUGUUCCAUUCCCGGCAGUGGGUGCCUCCGGCGGUGCCGAACCGGGUGGAAGCGUAUUUGAGCGUGGAGUCGGAAAGGAGCAUCGUGUUGAACAUCGGAACGUACGAGUCGGCGGUUGUCGGCAUGGCAAACGUGGGUCGGUUGCUGGAUCUCAGGAGGUCGAGGCCGAAGAGUGCUCGGCCUGUGAUUGUAGGCCCCCCACCUGCCAAAGGACCAUUGAUCGAACAUAAUAAGACACUCGGGCUCUGGGCAAUAAAGCUACCUUCCGUUGAUGCUGCAGUUGUUCGAAGAACACAUGCAAUACUAGCAGAGCAUCCUCAUGGCCUUGCAGGCGUCAACGAAAGUGAUGAGUGUGCAGAGAAGAGGAAGUUGUACUGGUCAACAGUGAAGCCUAUCCAUUUUAGUGUGAAGAUUUGUGCCAAAUCUAUACUGGGCAUUUUGCGGCUCGUAGUAACUGGAUUGUUCCUUGGGCUCUUUGGAAUGUUUGCACUUGGGAGAUCAAUUCUGUUGAAAUUUCCAUCAGUUUUUUCUCUUGGGUGGUUUAGAAAGACUGGACCUACGGAGGAAGAGGUCAGAAGUGCUUCUUUCAUUAUGUGGUUCAUCGGGCAUGGCUAUAGCGACGGCAACCUGGCUUCGCAAAGAGGUCGGAAACCAGACACAGUGGUAAUUACCAGGGUAUCUGGCCCUGAGGUGGGAUAUGUGACUACUCCAAUCAUCCUACUUCAAUGUGCUCUUGUUGUAUUGAGCGACCGUGACAGCUUACCAAAAGGUGGUGUUCUUCCACCCGGAAUAGUCUUCAGCCACACCAAUCUUCAACGGCGCCUCGAAGAAAAUGGAAUUUUUUUCGAUGUCAUCUCUGUGAAGCCUUCUUCACUGCAUCGAUUUCUCCGUUCCAGUUCUCGCAAACAAAUGGAAGUAGUUUUGCUUUCUUUCUAGCCUGAGAUCUGUAUUCUUCCAAGAUUUAUAAGAUACUGCUUUGCAUCCAAACUUAGUUUUUUGAGAUCGACUUUGCGGAAAAAUAAUGAGAAUCUUUGCUAUUCUCAACAAGUAUUGUGCUAUUAUGAAAUUAGUAGGGAAAUUUGCAAUUUGUUCUAUUGCUCUAGUAUGAAUUUGCAACUGAAUUUGCAAUUUGUUUGUUGCUACAGCAAGGAGAUGAAUGCCUGAAAAGAAAAAGAACAAAAAUAGAUCUGCAACUGGACUUCACUCGAUGGUUUGCCGAAGCCUAAUCUAUUUGCUUAAUGAGAACGAGAUAUUUUUUGGCAUCACUGCAAAACUCGAGGCUCUCAUUCCUCGCGUCUUCGACUCCAAUAUGUUCAAACGCAUAAAUAUGGCAGGCUUAAAUCCCGCCCUUCGUAAAAGCUCAUCCGCAUCUGACGGCUGGAUCUGCUGCGGACGCGACGCGAGGAUAGGGGCGAAUUUAAUCGAAACCCUAGGCCGCUGCUGGAAUCCGGGCGGUCCUCCCUUUCGAGGCGUGCCGCUAUUUAAGCCCUUCCGCUGCCCCUCGCCGCCACCUCCGCCACCACCGCUUCCCCGGCUUCUUCCCUGACGAUCGAUACGGCAUGUCGGACGAGGAACAUCAUUUCGAGUCGAAGGCCGACGCUGGGGCUUCCAAGACCUAUCCGCAGCAGGCCGGAACUAUCCGUAAGAAUGGGUACAUCGUCAUAAAGGCGAGGCCGUGCAAGGACUUCUGGGGAUCCUUCUCAGAGGAGUUGAGGUCUCAUUAGGGCUAAUGGUUUCAUGCAAGUUUCACUGUUUACAAGGAAGCCUUGUUUUGAGAGUCAACGCAUAGUAUACGAUUCCAAAGCUUUGCAUUUGGAUCCGGUCCUGUAAAUGAAGAUCACUGAAUGACAAACGUUGAUUGCUUCAGCUACUUGUGCAGUAAGCAGUAGCAUAAUAUGUUCUAUUGCAAUAUUUCUUAGAAAUAUUUCUUGAACACAUCUUGAAUCAGCCAAUCUUUUUUCCUGUAUUUCAUCUAAUAUUUUUUAUCAUGUUCUUUAGUGUGAAAAUAAUAGAAUAGUAGAAAUGUUCUGGGACGUCUUUUAGUGGGGUUAUCGCCCUGGCUUGGAGGUGCAAAAACAGCCCAUCUGUGUGUCUUCUGUUGUAGAAGUUUCAACCUCCAAAACUGGAAAGCAUGGCCAUGCAAAAUGCCACUUUGUUGCCAUUGAUAUAUUCAAUGGCAAGAAGCUUGAAGAUAUUGUUCCGUCAUCUCACAACUGUGAUGUUCCCCAUGUCACACGUACCGACUAUCAA